ACAUGCAAGUCGAACGGUAAGCUUUGUAGCAAUAUGAAGCCUAGAGUGACGUAAGGGUGCGUAACACGUAUGCAAUCUACCCUCAACAGGAGUAUAGCUCGGGGAAACUCGGAUUAACACUCCAUAAUAUUACGAAGUGGCAUCACUUUGUGAUUAAAACUGCGGUGGUUGAGGAUGAGCAUGCGUCUGAUUAGUUAGUUGGUGAGGUAACGGCUCACCAAGACGAUGAUCAGUAGGGGAACUGAGAGGUUGAUCCCCCACACUGGCACUGAGAUACGGGCCAGACUCCUACGGGAGGCAGCAGUAGGGAAUAUUGGUCAAUGGGUGAGAGCCUGAACCAGCCAUGCCGCGUGCAGGAAGACGGCCUUCUGGGUUGUAAACUGCUUUUAUCUGGGGAUAAAAAGCCCAUGCGUGGGACAUUGAAGGUACCAGAUGAAUAAGCACCGGCUAACUACGUGCCAGCAGCCGCGGUAAUACGUAGGGUGCAAGCGUUGUCCGGAUUUAUUGGGUUUAAAGGGUGCGUAGGCGGUCUAUUAAGUCAGUGGUGAAAUCCAACAGCUCAACUGUUGAUGUGCCAAUGAUACUGAUGGACUUGAGUACAGACGAGGUAGGCGGAAUUGACAGUGUAGCGGUGAAAUGCAUAGAUAUUGUCAAGAACACCGAUAGCGAAGGCAGCUUGCUAGCCUGUAACUGACGCCGAGGCACGAAAGUAUGGGGAUCAAACAGGAUUAGAUACCCUGGUAGUCCAUACAGUAAACGAUGAUUACUCGAUGUUGGCGAUACACAGUCAGCGUCUUAGCGAAAGCGAUAAGUAAUCCACCUGGGGAGUACGCCGGCAACGGUGAAACUCAAAGGAAUUGACGGGGGUCCGCACAAGCGGUGGAGCA
rnacentral:rRNA from 1 species